CCUACGGUGGGCAGCAGUCGAGAAUCAUUCACAAUGGGGGAAACCCUGAUGGUGCGACGCCGCGUGGGGGAAUGAAGGUCUUCGGAUUGUAAACCCCUGUCAUGUGGGAGCAAAUUAAAAAGAUAGUACCACAAGAGGAAGAGACGGCUAACUCUAUGCCAGCAGCCGCGGUAAUACAGAGGUCUCAAGCGUUGUUCGGAAUCACUGGGCGUAAAGCGUGCGUAGGCUGUUUCGUAAGUCGUGUGUGAAAGGCGCGGGCUCAACCCGCGGACGGCACAUGAUACUGCGAGACUAGAGUAAUGGAGGGGGAACCGGAAUUCUCGGUGUAGCAGUGAAAUGCGUAGAUAUCGAGAGGAACACUCGUGGCGAAGGCGGGUUCCUGGACAUUAACUGACGCUGAGGCACGAAGGCCAGGGGAGCGAAAGGGAUUAGAUACCCCAGUAGUC
rnacentral:rRNA from 1 species